rnacentral:tRNA from 1 species
GAGUAGUCGCCGGAAGAACGGACGUUAUUGAUGUUAACGAACAUGAUUGUCAAUCACUACUUU